UGUUUAUUAUUUUUCUUGGAUAGGAACAAGCUUAUAAGUUAUGAUUUGAACACUUUUUCUUUUUCUUUUUCUUUUUUUCCUCUUUCUUUCUUUCUUUCUUUCUCUUUCUCUUCUUCUUCCUUUAAGGGAACAAUGAAGCAAUCAAGAAAGAGAAAUGUGUACUGUCUGGAUGGCCACACUGGGGAAAUUGUUCUCACGUUUCUUGACCUUGUGGAUCCAGAUCAUCACAUCAGGUGCAUCAGGUAUAUCUCAAUAUCACAGUGAGAGUUGUCGGCUACAGGAUCUCCAGAAAAGUCAGCUAUUAUACUUGUGAGUAAUAAUUUUCCAGGACAAAUAUUAACUUUCAAGAACGUAACCUCACAUUAAAAAAAAUCCUCGGGCCAGAUUGCCUGGCAAAGAUGUUACAAAGUGGUUUAUAUUUCAUGUAAUUAAAAUAAUACAUGCCUAUAUCUCCAUCCUAAACUUUUCCAUAUUUCUUGAAAAAGAAUCUAACAAAUGACUCCUUCAUUGCACUAUUUGAGAUCGGAAAAUUUCUUAAAUUAUAGUAACCAAACAUAUGCAGCGCUUUGUAAUGUAGAACAUAACAGUAAUUAAACUGGUUCAUUCACAAAAGAAAUACAGGUAAAGAAACAUGUUUUAGGUAAUAAGAACAGAAUUUUCUCUGUGUCUCCUAUUAUUGUAACAGGUAAAUUUAUAGAUGACCAGUGUUUUGAUUUUUUUUUUUUUUUUUUACCCCAGCAAUGAGUAAUUAUAGCCACCAAACACAUGGUUUAGUGGAAAGCUUUCUAUUGGAAUAUAAGUGAGAUAUUUUAUAGUGUUCAGCAUUUUUAAACCUUUAUUCCAUUACUAUGCAUCUUCUUGACAGCAGGCUGGGGAAGUUGAAAAUUCCACAGGUGAGUGAAUUAAUACUGUGACAAUUAGUCAUGCUGGAAAAAUGCCAGGCAAUCGUAUACUUGUCAUUAUGUGGCCUUGGUACAGGUGUGGAAUAACUGAUGCUUGGUUAGGUAAUGACGAUUCUGUUCUUCUCACGGAUAGUAUAUAAAGGGGAUUGAGGGAGCAUAUGGAGAAAAGCCCUCUAAAGACAUCUAUUCAUUUUUAGCAGGAGAGAUUACACUGAGGUUGAUUCAGUGGAAAUUACAUUUUUCUUAAUUUCUCAUAUUCUCCGUUAUUUGCAUAGACAAAUCCUGCAGUGAAGAAUUACACGUCUGUUGCUGCACUCAGUGUGUGCCCCAUGGUGCUGGCAGGAAAGAGGGAUACAGAGAAUGGAGGUGUCAGCUGUUUAAAAGGCAGACUCCUAAAGGCCAUUUUAAAGAAAAAUCGAUCCCUGUGGGUGUUGUGUGGAAACUCUACAAGCUGUUGCCACUUGAAUAUUAAAUAUUAGUUCUUUUUAAUAUCACAGAUACCAAAAUGUCAAGUAUUUUUCUUUCUUUCUUUCUUUUUUUUUUCUUUUUGCUUAGUUGGUAAUGAGCUUUUAAAGUGAUGCAAAUUUAAGCAGUGUUUGCAAGUAUGCUAGAACAUCUAGUUUUGCUAUAACCCAGCUCUUUUUGU